rnacentral:rRNA from 1 species
GAUGAACGCUGGCGGCGUGCCUAAUACAUGCAAGUCGAGCGAACAGGUAAGGAGCUUGCUCCUUUGACGUUAGCGGCGGACGGGUGAGUAACACGUGGGUAACCUACCUAUAAGACUGGGAUAACUUCGGGAAACCGGAGCUAAUACCGGAUAAUAUUUCGAACCGCAUGGUUCGAUAGUGAAAGAUGGUUUUGCUAUCACUUAUAGAUGGACCCGCGCCGUAUUAGCUAGUUGGUAAGGUAACGGCUUACCAAGGCGACGAUACGUAGCCGACCUGAGAGGGUGAUCGGCCACACUGGAACUGAGACACGGUCCAGACUCCUACGGGAGGCAGCAGUAGGGAAUCUUCCGCAAUGGGCGAAAGCCUGACGGAGCAACGCCGCGUGAGUGAUGAAGGUCUUCGGAUCGUAAAACUCUGUUAUUAGGGAAGAACAUACGUGUAAGUAACUGUGCACGUCUUGACGGUACCUAAUCAGAAAGCCACGGCUAACUACGUG